ACUUUUAAGGACAAAAGUGGUCCAA
rnacentral:tRNA from 1 species